ensembl:lncRNA
CGGUCCGACUCGAACGAGUCCCCCGACAGGGCCCCGAGAGAGGAGUCUCCGCCCCUCAUAGACUUCACCGACUACCCCCUGGCCGACGGGGGAGGACCCGGCAAGGGAGGACAGUUCGCCACCGCCCAGCUGGAGGACGACGCCCUCCGCCACGCCUGGGGACACGUCCAGGUCCACGAGGGCCUCUCGCGGGACUCGUCCAUGCUCAAAAAGGUCAUGGAAGCCGAUGGGAAGAACUGGGACCAGCUGCUUCCGCAUGUCCUAUUCGCCGUUCGAGAGGUGCCCCAGGCCUCCACGGGAUUCUCGCC